AUGAUCAGUCCGUGUGUUCCCCUCAUGUCUGCAGUCAGAGAGCAGCGUGUGUGUGUGUGUCUGCAGUCAGUGUGUGUGUCUGCAGUCAGUGUGUGUGUGUGUGUGUCUGCAGUCAGUGUGUGUGUGUGUGUGUCUGCAGUCAGUGUGUGUGUGUGUGUGUGUCUGCAGUCAGUGUGUGUGUGUGUGUGUCUGCAGUCAGUGUGUGUGUGUGUCUGCAGUCAGUGUGUGUGUGUCUGCAGUCAGAGAGCAGAGUGUGUGUGUGUGUCUGCAGUCAGUGUGUGUGUGUGUCUGCAGUCAGUGUGUGUGUCUGCAGUCAGAGUGUGUGUGUGUGUGUGUCUGCAGUCAGUGUGUGUGUGUCUGCAGUCAGAGAGCAGCGUGUGUGUGUGUGUCUGCAGUCAGUGUGUGUGUGUGUGUGUGUGUCUGCAGUCAGUGUGUGUGUGUCUGCAGUCAGAGAGCAGCGUGUGUGUGUGUGUCUGCAGUCAGUGUGUGUGUGUGUGUGUGUGUCUGCAGUCAGAGUGUGUGUGUGUCUGCGGUCAGAGUGUGUGUGUCUGCGGUCAGUGUGUGUGUGUGUGUGUGUGUCUUGAGUUACUUGGGGGUCUGGAGGGUUAACUGAUCUUGAGCUCAGGUCUGGACCAGUCUUAGUACCGGGUCCUGAAGUGUUUGGACUUUCCUGCAGUCAGACACGUGACAGACUGUGACUCCCAGCCCGGCUGAUCAGCAGACAGGAAGUGUCUCUGAGUCUACAACUGAUUUUGAAUUUCAUUAAAAUGCGACGUUCAUAAUAAAUAAAUACUAAUUUUCUAUUCGGUGGGUGCA
rnacentral:lncRNA from 1 species